AACCAGCACCUCAAGUGGUCAGGAUGAUUAUUGGGCCUAAAGCAUCCGUAGCCGGCUCUGUGAGUUUUCGGUUAAAUCUGUACGCUCAACGUACAGGCUGCCGGGAAUACUGCAGAGCUAGGGAGUGGGAGAGGUAGACGGUACUCGGUAGGAAGGGGUAAAAUCCUUUGAUCUAUUGAUGACCACCUGUGGCGAAGGCGGUCUACCAGAACACGUCCGACGGUGAGGGAUGAAAGCUGGGGGAGCAAACCGG
rnacentral:rRNA from 1 species